GUCAUUACACCACUCAAGCCUCGCUUGGUAUUGGGCGCCGCGCCCGCCGCGCGCCUCGAAUGCAUCCGGCUGGGCUCGCCGUCCCCUAGCGUCGUGGCAUCUAAUUGUUUCGCUUACGGGAUCGUCGGGCUCGCGCCGUACAAAAAACACCUUUCUACAUGGUUGACCUCGGAUCAGGUAGGGAUACCCGCUGAACUUAA
rnacentral:misc_RNA from 1 species